rnacentral:rRNA from 1 species
UACAGAGGGGGCUAGCGUUAUUCGGAAUUAUUGGGCGUAAAGGGCGCGUAGGCGGCCAUGCGUGUCUUCCGUGAAAUCCCUCGGCUUAACUGAGGACGUGCGGAAGAAACUGCAAGGGCUCGAGUCCGGGAGAGGGGGGUGGAAUUCCCAGUGUAGCGGUGAAAUGCGUAGAUAAUUGGGAGGAACAGCCGGUGGGCCGAAGGCGGCCCCCUGGACCGGAACUGACGCUGAGGCGCGAAAAGCGUGG